rnacentral:rRNA from 1 species
CCUACGGGGGGCAGCAGUGGGGAAUAUUGGACAAUGGGGGAAACCCUGAUCCAGCGACGCCGCGUGAGUGAAGAAGUAUUUCGGUACGUAAAGCUCUAUCAGCAGGAAAGAAAAUGACGGUACCUGACUAAGAAGCCCCGGCUAACUACGUGCCAGCAGCCGCGGUAAUACGUAGGGGGCAAGCGUUAUCCGGAUUUACUGGGUGUAAAGGGAGCGUAGACGGCAGCGCACGUCAGAUGUGAAAGCCCGGAGCUCAACCCCGGUACUGCAUUU